GAUGAACGCUGGCGGCGUGCUUAAUACAUGCAAGUCGAGCGAACGGACGCGAAGUUUGCUUCUUUGAUGUUUGCGGCGGACGGGUGUGUCACAUGUGGAUCACCUACUUAUCAGUCUGGGAUAAUUUCGGGAAACCGGCGCUAAUCCCGGAUAAUCUUUUGCACCGUAUGGUUCAAAAGUGAAAGACGGUCUUGCUGUCACUUCUCGAUGGAUCCGCGCUGCAUUAGCUAGUUGGUAAGGUAACGGCGUACCAAGGCAACGAUGCGUAGCCGACCUGAUAGAGUGAUCGGCCACACGGGAGCGGAAACGCAGACCAGGGGCCUGCGGGACGCAGCAGUAUGGAAUCUUCCGCAGUGGGCGGAAGCCUUACAGAACAACGCCACGUGAGUUGUAAAGAUCUUGGGAGCGGAAAGCUCUGUUAUGAGUUAUAAACAGAUGUGGAAGUAGCUGUGCACAGCGUGACGGUACCGGGUAAAAAAGCCACGGCUAACUACGUG
rnacentral:rRNA from 1 species